rnacentral:rRNA from 1 species
AGAGUUUGAUCAUGGCUCAGAUUGAACGCUGGCGGCAUGCUUUACACAUGCAAGUCGAACGGUAACAGGCCGCAAGGUGCUGACGAGUGGCGAACGGGUGAGUAAUGCAUCGGAACGUGCCCAGUCGUGGGGGAUAACGCAGCGAAAGCUGCGCUAAUACCGCAUACGAUCUAUGGAUGAAAGCGGGGGACCGUAAGGCCUCGCGCGAUUGGAGCGGCCGAUGUCAGAUUAGGUAGUUGGUGGGGUAAAGGCUCACCAAGCCGACGAUCUGUAGCUGGUCUGAGAGGACGACCAGCCACACUGGGACUGAGACACGGCCCAGACUCCUACGGGAGGCAGCAGUGGGGAAUUUUGGACAAUGGGCGCAAGCCUGAUCCAGCAAUGCCGCGUGCAGGAAGAAGGCCUUCGGGUUGUAAACUGCUUUUGUACGGAACGAAAAGGCCCUGGUUAAUACCUGGGGCUCAUGACGGUACCGUAAGAAUAAGCACCGGCUAACUACGUGCCAGCAGCCGCGGUAAUACGUAGGGUGCAAACGUUAAUCGGAAUUACUGGGCGUAAAGCGUGCGCAGGCGGUUUUGUAAGACAGGCGUGAAAUCCCCGGGCUCAACCUGGGAAUUGCGCUUGUGACUGCAAGGCUGGAGUGCGGCAG